AUGACAGUGAACAUGUUCUAAACCUUCAGAUGGGCAUGGCUUUGCCCGCUGGUACUAGGUCACCUUUUUAAAAAGAGGCUGAAUCUGCCGGGCGCGGUGGCUCACGCCUGUAAUCCCAG